UUUUUUUUUUUUUUUUUGUUGGUGACAGUACCGUAAUGUUUUGAUGGCCAUAGCUUUGUAUUAUAGUCAGAAGUUAGGGAGCCUCAUUCCUCCGGUUCUGAUUUUCUUUCUCAGGAUUUCUUUGUCUGUUUAGGGUCUUUUGUGUUUCCAUACAAUUUUAAAAAUUAUUUGUUCUAGUUCUUUGAAAAAUGCCAUUGGUAAUGAUAGAGAUUGCAUCAAAUCUGUAGAUUGCCUUUGGUAGUAGUAUAAUCAUUUUAACAAUAUUGAUUCUUCCAAUUCAAGAACAUGGUAUAUUUCCAUCUGUUUGUGUUGUCUUUGAUUUCUUUCAUUAGUGUCCUGUAGUUUUCAGAGUUUUGAUGAGAUUUUAAAAGUUUUUUUUUUUAAUUUCCCAUUCUGAUAUUUCAUUGUUGGUAUAAAGAAAUGCAGUUGACUUAUGUAUGUUAAUCUUAUAUCUUGCCACUUUGCUGAAUAUGUUUAUCAGUUCUGGUAGUUUUUCUGUGGAGUCUUUAGGGUUUUCUAUAUAUAGUAUUAUGUCACGUGCAUAUAGUGACAAUUUUACUUCUCUGCCAAUUUGAAUAUCUUUUAUUUCUAAGCUAGGCUAGGGCUUCUACUACUAUGUUGACUAGAAGUGGUGAGGGUGGAUAGCCUUGUCUUGUUCCAGAUAUUAGUGGGAAGACUUUCACCUUUUCACCAUUGAGUAUAAUACUGGCUAUGGGUUUGUCAUAAAUAGUUUUUAUUAUGUUGAGGUAUGUUCCCUCUAUACCCACUUUCAUAAAGGUUUUAGAAUGAAUGGAUGUUGAAUUUUAUCAGAUGCUUUUUCUGUUUCUACUGAGAUGAUCAUGUGGUCUUUUCUUUUGUUGAUGUGGUUUAUCACAUUGAUUUGCAUAUAUUGAACCAUCCUUGUGACUUGGGGGAUGAAUCCAACUUUCUUGUGGUGUAUGAUUUUUUUUUUAAUGUGUUGUUGGACUCAAUUUGCUCUUAUUUUGUUGAAAAUUUUUGCUUCUAUAUUCAUCAAAGAGAUUGGCCUGUAAUUUUCUUUUCCAGUAGGGUCUUUGUCUGGUUUUGUUAUCAGGAUGAUGGCGGCUUCAUAGAGUAUCUUUGGGAGUGUUCCUUCCUCUUCAGUCUUUUAGAAAAAUUUGAGAAGGAUUAAUAUAAGUUCUUCUUCUUAUGUUUAGUAUAAUUCGCCUGUGAAGUCAUCUGGUCCUGGACUUUUGUUUAUAGGGAGUUUUGGGGUUUAUUUUUGUUUUUAAUUAUAGAUUCUAUUUCAUUUCUAGUGAUCAGUCUGUUCAAAUUAUCUAUUUCUUCUUGAUUCAGUAUUCAUGGGCUGUAUGUUUCUUGAAAGUUGUCCAUUUCUUCUAGGUUGUUAAAUUUGUUGGCAUGUAAUUUUUCAUAGUAUUCUUUUAUAAUUUUUUGUAUUUCUGUAGUUAUCAGUUGUUUUUAUUUAUGUAUUGGGUGCUCCUAUAUUAUUGUAUAUUGAUGAGUGUAAUAUCCUGUUUUUGCAUUGAUCAUUUUAUCAUUAUAUAGAGUUCUUCUUUAUCUUUCUUUAUAGCCUUUGUUCUGACUUCUUAUUGUAUUUAUUUUGGUCUUCUCUCUUUAUUUCUUGGUCAGCCAGGGCAGAGAUUUGUCAAUUUUGUAUACCUUUUCAAAGAACCAGACCUUGGUUUUGUUGAUUUUUCUAUUGUUUUUUAAUAUCUAUUUUAUUUCCUCUCUGAUCUUUAUUAUUUCCUUCCUUCCGCUGACUUUGGUUUUGUUUGCUCUUUUUCUAAUUUUAGGUGGUGGGUUAUGUUGUUUAUUUGAGGUUCUUCAGUUUCUUAAAGAUGGCCUGUUUCACAUUGAACUUUCCUCUAAGAACUGUUUUGCUGUAUCCCAUAGAUUUUGUAUAGUCAUGUUUCAUUAUCAUUUAUCUCAAGGAAUUUUUAAAUUUUUUCCUUGAUUUCAUCAUUGGCCCAUUGGCUUUUUAGAAGCAUGUGGUUUAAUCUCCAUGCAGUUGUUUUUUUUUUCACAUUUCUUUUUCUGUAGUAGAUUUCUGGUUUCAUGACAAUGUGGUCAGGAAGGAUGCUUGCAGUAAUUUCUGUACUCUUAAAUUUUCUGAGGCUUGUUUUAUGCCCUAGUAUGUAGUCAGUCCUAGAGAAUGUUCCAUGUUCACUUGAAAAGAAUGUGUAUUCUGCCUUUUUUUGAUGUAAUGUCCUGAAUAUAUCAAGUCUAAAUGUUCUGUUGUAUCAUUUAGGAUCUCUUUUGCCAUAUUGGUCUUCUGUCCUAAAGAUCUUUCCAUUGAUGUAUGUGACGUUAAGGUCUUCUACUGUUAACACAGUUCCAUUAAUUUCACACUUAUGUCUGUCAGUAUUUUUUUAUGUAUUUGGGUGCUCCUAUAUUACAUGUAUAUAUAUAUAUAUAUAUAUAUAUAUAUAUAUAUAUAUAUAUAUAUGAGUGUAAUAUCCUGUAUUUGUAUUGAUCAUUUUAUCAUUAUAUGGAGUUCUUCUUUAUCUUUCUUUAUAGCCUUUGUUUUAAAGUAUUUUGUCAGAUAAGAGUAUUGCAGUCCCCACUUUGUUGUCUUUUUUGUUUGCAUGAAAUAUUUCUUUCCAUCAUCUCAUUUUCAGGCUAUGUCUGUCCUUUGCCCUAAAAUGUGUCUCUUGUAGGCAGAAUAUUGUAGGUUCUUCUUAUUUUUCUUUUAAUCUAACCUGCCUCUCUUUGUCUUCUGAUUAGUCCAUUUAGUCCAUUGACACUUAAGAUAAUUAUUGAUAGAUAUGUAGUAUUUAUUGCCAUUUUCAACUUUGUUUUCUUGUUGAUUCUGUGUUUCUUCUUCGUCCCUUUUGUUUAUUUUUACUUUUGUGGUUUGAUGACUUUCUUUUGUGUUAUGCCUGUGUUCUCUUCUUUUUUUUUUUUUUUUUUUGUGAAUCUAUUGUAUGUUUUUGAUUUGUGUUUACCCUGUUUUUCAAGUAUGUUAACCUCUUCUUAUACCUACUUGUUUUAAAUUGGUGGUCAUACAAACUUUCCGGAAACAAAAAUUUACAUUUUCUUACUCUCUUUCCAUGCAUUUUAUGAUUUUGAUGUCCUCUUUCACAUCUUCAUUUUCAUCCUUUUGUUGUUCAUUGUGGUCAUCAUCACUUUCACAGAAAUUUUCCUUUUUUUUAUUUUAAUAUUUGUUCUGGCUUCUUUAAGUGAUUUACUUUCCAAUUUUGAUUUUCUAUUUCCUAUAGAUUACUGGUUCUUUUCUAUUUAGAGAAGACCUUUCAGUUUCUUUCAAGUUAGGUUUAAAAUUGCUGUAUACUUUUAAUUUUUGCUUGUCUGAGAAAUUCCUUAUCACUCCUUGUAUCCUAAAUGAUAAUCUUGCCAGGCUAGGGGUCUCAUCGGAGCUGUAGCCACCAGCCUACGCCAGAGCCACAGCAACGCGGGAUCCGAGCCGCGUCUGCAACCUACACCACAGCUCAUGGCAACGCCGGAUCCUUAACCCACUGAGCAAGGGCAGGGACCGAACCCGCAACCUCAUGGUUCCUAGUCGGAUUCGUUAACCACUGCGCCAUGACGGGAACUCCACUUUUUUAAUUUUUUUUAUUUUUUUUUUUGUCACACACAUAUAUAUCCUAAUUUAUACACUGUGUUACUCAACACUUUCAUUUUGAAAUAUAGGAAAAUAACUGUUGUGCUUACAGUAUAUCCUUCAUGUUUUAUAUAGGAAUUACAUUAAAUAUGGCUAUUGGUGAAGGAUAUGGUCCAAAUCCUUUGUGAAUACCACUGUAGAAUACUGAAAGGCUGCAUUGAGAUGUGGAUUUCUGGUGGUUGGCUAAGCUCUUCUUUCCUACAAAGAAGCCAUUCAUCAUAUGUGCUUCAAAUUUGGUGUUUUAGCAAAAUUACACAUUACUGUGUUGAGUCUUUUUAGGUUACUUACAAAUAGCAUUAAAUCCUCAAAUAUUAAUAUGCUAAUACAAAAUAUGUUCUGAAGGUUAAAUGGGAAAGUUGGUUCCUUUAUCUAAUUAACUCUGCAUUAAAAACAAUAGAAUAUGGGUUAUUUCAGGACUUCUUAGAGAAUGUAAUGUGUUAUUUUAGUCUAUCUUGUGACUUUCUUUUUUUUUUAUUUCCCCAAUACAGUUUUUUUUUUUUUUUUCUACUGUAUGGCAUGGUGACCCAGUUACACAUAUAUGUACAUAUUCUAUUUUUGCACAUUAUCAUGCUCCAUCAUAAGUGACUAGACAUAGUUCCCAGUGCUACAGAGCAGGAUCUCAUUGCUAAUCCAUUCCAAAUCUUGUGACUUUCUUGAAGGUCAAUAAGAUUUGUAGCCAGACUUAUUUGGUCCUAAGACUGGUUGUUUAGCAAAUGGUAAUCUACUAGAUUUUGCAGAAUAAUAAUUAACUGCUUAAGAAUUGUAUUAAUAUGCCUCAGUUAUAAGUGAGAUCUCAUUUAUUAAGACAGAGGGUAUAAGAAAUUCCAUAUUUUUCAAAUAAGGAGCUUGCCAGUUGUGAAAGGCAUAAAAUUCAUAACUGAUACCUUUAUUAUUUAUCACAGACUUUAUGAUGCUAUAUACCAGUUUAACAUUGCACUUGUAGAAUUUAUUAUUGAUGCUACAGUUUGAACAUAGAAUAUGCUUUUGACUAUUAGAAUUUGUACACCUAUUUCACAGUUCUGAACUUUUUCAUGCAAUGUUUACUAUUCUCAGAAAUGACUAAUAGUGUUUUUGCCAAUGAGAAGAAAAACAGGAUUACUUUUUUGGUGUCCUAGUUGCAAGGUUAUGUUCUUUCUGAUCUCAGCACAUUACACUACUUUAUUCUUAGAACCUACCCUGAUCUUUCUAUGUGGACUUAACUGCCUAAAUCAUCUUAUUCAUACAGGGUACCUUAGAACAUACUUGCUUCUUUUUUAUUAUAGUUUCUUGUUUUCAAGUCUACCAAUUGAUUGGAUCAUAGACUUCUUGAAGUUGGGUCUGAACUUUUAACAUGAAUUGUCCAUGAGGCCAAGUAAGUCCCAAAUAAAAUUUUUUCUGAAGGAAGGAGAAGAGAAUUCAUGUGAUGGAAUUUAAGGUGACAAAAAAAUCAUUUGUAAAAUUUUUAGCCAUGUAAAAUGCCAAGUUCUUAUGACCUAAUUGAUAUAUGAGUAUCAUUACACACACUAGAAAUAUAUUUGCAUCUAAAUCUUUUGUCACUGACAUAUCAGAUUUUUUAGUAGACAAAAUAACAUAGUUUGAAUCUUUAUUUAAAAUUGUCUGUGAGACAACUAUAAAAUGUGGGUUUCAUAUUUUUCUAAAUUAUGCAAGCUAAGAAGUUGAUUCAUAAAAUAGUUAUGCCAAUAUAAUGAUUUUUGUAUAGGCAUGUGUUUAGAAUAAUACUUUCCCAAACAACCUGACUGCUUGCCAUUCUGACUUUGUUCAUUUUAGGAUUGUUACUACCAUAAUUGUUUGAUAGAAACACACACACAUUUAGUUAUUUUUAUUAUUUGAUUAAAUAUCAUCUUUUUUCAUUUGUACAAGUAUAAAAUGAGAAAAAUAUUUUCAUUGGGAAAUGAUAAUGACUUGAUGUUUGCAAAUGUCAAGAUUUAGUCUUGGGACCCCUAUCCUCCAGCCAUGCAGGAACCCACCAGUGGGCCAGUACCAACCCUGAUCCUGUACCACCACCAGUGGUCCAGUACCAACCCUAAUCCUGCACCAGCUUCCCCAGGACCUGACCCUACCCAACAACAGGACAGCAUUAGCUCCAGGGCCUCUGAGCCCCACAGACAGCUAUACCAGGACUUGGUUUGGCCAACCAACAGCCUGGCAUCAGCCAUAAAACUUCUGGACCUUACUGAUAGCUGUGGCUGGGACCUCACCCUGCCCACUAGUGGCUGGGCAGCAUUUGCAAGAGGCAAGGGCAGGACAGUCAGCCAGGCUUGGGGUUGACCCACCACUACAGAAGGAUGUCUCUGACGUAAUGCCAUUUCUCCAAGAUUGAGAAAAGUAACUGACCUCCCUAAUACAUAGAAAUAAAUGCAGAGAAUUAGGCAAAAUGAAGAAACAGGAAAAUGUUCCAAAUGAAGGAACAAGUUAGGAUCCCAGAAGAACUAAGCAAAAGUGGAGCUAAGCAAACUACCUGUUAAAGAGC
ensembl:lncRNA